rnacentral:lncRNA from 1 species
CUUCUCUGGAGCCAGUGUCAAAUGUUAUAAUGAUUAUAAUUUGUAUGUAUUACAGUGGGCCUGUUCACACUCAUUAUUUUGUAUUUCCAAAAGCAUCCAGGCCCGGUGUGGUAGGGCAUGCCUGUAGCCCCAGCUACUCUGUAGGUUGAGGUAGGAGGAUCACUUGAGCCCAGGAGUUCAGGGCUGCAGUGAGCUAUGGUUAUGCCAUUGCACUUCAGCCUGGACAACACAGUAAGACCCUGUCAAAAAAAAAAAAAAAGUGUCCGAAUUGUUCUUGAACCUUUUUUCUUACACAUAAACUUUAGAAUUUUGAGAUUCUGAUUGGAGUCGAUGAGUUAUAUAAAUCAUUUGAGGUCAAAUUAUCUUCACAAUCUGAAGUCUUCCUAUCCCAG